CCGAGAUCCAAGCAGCUCUCUGCUGGAGACAUUGGCUCAGAUGAUUCUGAACAUGAAAAGGAGCCCAACAAGGCCAGCCAAAUCAAUAACACCAAGUCUUGGAACAAACCCAGGAGGUGCAUUUUGGAGCUCUUCAUGGCUGUCUAGCCCCCAGUGAAUCAAGUUUUGCAUCUUGGGCUUAGCUGGGGAGUAUGUUUCCUGACACCAACUUGUAUACGGCCUGCCGUGGUGGCGGACUGUGAGAAGCUUUCUUCAAGUUGACUCCUUGGCUCCUCCACAAAUUCACCUUGACCCUCGGGAGCUGAGUGGAGUGAAAGCUCAUCAGCUUUCAUGGAUUUUUUUGUGAGGCGUGUCCUUUUUUGGUGCUGCAU
rnacentral:lncRNA from 1 species